UCACGGAGUCGGUGGUCGAGCUCGACUCCGAGGUCGUCGAGAGGAUCGCUCUCUCCGUCUCAGCCUCUUCCGUUCUUCCCGCCUCCGUUUCAACGGGGAGGAUGUCGUCGUUGGGCGUCGAGGAAGAACCGAUCCAAGUUUUUUUCUUCGAGGACUCCACAGCACGCAUGCACAGAAUUUUCGAUCGGAAUUCCAACAAGGGACAAAGUCUCUACAAAACACCGUGAUGUCGAUCGUCGAGAACCUCAAGUCGAGCACAUCGCGCACUAUGCCGUUAACAUAGGACGCGACGUUUCCAGUGCACCCGCGACCUUGUACCAGCCGAGCACGCCAAAGGACACCCGAAAGCAAUCGCGAGCACCGUACACCGAUGCGAGGAGAGCGAGACUGAACGUUGUGCAGAGGAUGGAGAGGCCACUGUUACUUUCAUGGGUUGCCUCCACCUCCACCGUGAACCUCUCCAAUCCAUUCCUGCCACUCCUCCUCUCAGGCAGAGGUGAAAGGAAAACAUUUCUUCCCUUCUUCCACCCGAAACUUCUUCGAGUUCGCUUCUUUUUUUUUUUUAGUAAUACCGAUUUCAUUAAAAGCGCACACUUCUCCUGUCGAUUUUCAAAGGCGAUUUAAGAAUUUAUGUAAAUUUUAUGAAGCCACACCUUAUCGUUUUUUUUUCAAUUUUAUUAAAUUGGAUAAAUCUAUUUCGCUAUAUAUAUGUGUAUAUAUAUAUAAGUGUUCUUACUGGUUCGAAAGGGUAAAUUUUAUCAAUUUCGUUACUUUUAAUUUAAGAAAAGGAAUUAAAAUUUAAAACGAGUUGACUUUUCCGUGUCAAAAUUUUAUCUAAUUUUUUAAGAGCGCGUGCGACUUUGAAAACUGUGUAAUUAAAUCGGCGUGGGUCGAAGAUAUUAAUGUUAAUUAUGCCGCGAUACGAAUUAUUCGAUCGAACAGCGUUAAACCCAAAUACAUAGAAUUAGCACGUGUCUGACAUACUACUGGUAGAAAUUUAAACUAUUUUCGAGAAAAGUAAGACGGGAAAAAGUUUCGACGUGAGGCGAACAUCAAUAUCGUGCACUCCCUCACGAGUCGAAAAGAACUUUUUAACUUUCGAUCGAUUUGAUUCGCUGCCAGUUAUAUUGAAAGAAAAUACGCCUUCCAAGUCACGUGUGAAUUUAAUUGUAUCAUUUCCGUGAUCGUACUGUGUAUAAAAAUUUUUAUGAUUUAUGCAUCCUCCGAAUCCUCCAGAUUAAACGUGGCCUUUUUACUCUUCUUAAUCGAUUGAUCUAUCGACAAAAUAUUAAAUUCGGUUAUUAGUAGUUAAUUACAGCGCAGGAGGGAUUAUUAGUAAGUACACACCGUGAUAAAAGUGUUUGGCCGUUCGUUUUCUAAUAUCUUCCACGCCCUCUUCGGUUUGAGCCCAUUCCAAGACCAAUCUUCGCCCGUACAAAUGUGUACUUUGACACAAAGCUUUAAAUGCUUUCUAUAAAUACAGUGGAAAAAGAUUGUAUGUAUACAUUGAUUCGAGAUGACGAGAAUUUAUUUUAAUUUUUCGUAUACCUUCGCUUCGCUUUUCGUGUAAUAUUCUACAAAGGCGAAUCCCCUGUGUUUUUCGACACCAACUAAUUUUUUAGGUAAUCGUACUGCUUUCAACUCUCCGAACGCUCUGGUAUUUCAGAGAAAAAAGAGAAAAGAAACGUAAGUGAAAAAAUUUACUUCCCCUUUUUAAAAUGUUUAAAAUACGUACUUGAAUAGUUCGGUUAUUUCCUCGGCUGUUGCUUGGAAUGGUACGUUUCUUAUCAAAAUUUUUGUACCCGUUUGAGCUUUUACCGUGGACGUCUUUUUUGCACUUUUUACGUCAGUUCUGCACAUUCAGAUAAAUAGAAAUGUUUACUGAAAAUUGUAAAUGCCAAGGAAACUGAAAUUGUAACGGAAGCAUACGUUAGCGUUCGUUCAGAACGUUUGAGUUCUAAAGUUUUUCCCUCCAACACUGUCAUUUGUAAAACUUUCAGUGCACGAUCCGCGUCCGCUUUUCUUUUAUAUCUUACAAAUCCGUAGCCCAUUGACAACUUGGCACCAGGAUUUUGCGGAUCUUUCUUCAUUGCUAUCGAGGCAUAAUGAAGAGGGCCACAUUUGUCGAAAUACUGUAAAAAAAGAAAAAUAUUAUACAUCAAGUAAUAGGAAGCAGUGUUUGAUAAGGUAUUUUUUACCGUUUUUAAUUGUUCCUCCGUAGUGGAGAAGUUAAUAUUUUUCACGAAAAGAGUGGUGUCCGGUUCAGGUUCGUCCUCAUCUUCGCUUUCUUCUUUGUUAGCCUUAUUCGUAUCAUUUACAUUUUUUGAUAAUUCUUUUUCUUGUUUUUCAACUUUUGUUUUUUCGUUUGUUUCGUUAAUAGUUUUGUUUUUUACCGCAGGAGGAGUAGUAAAACUAUUAUUAGGAGCCCAUUCCAGAUACAAUGGUAGAUGUUUAUAUUUAGUAUAGGCUAAUUUUGUGAAUGCUUUUCGCGCUUCAGAGGGUUCCAAAAAUUCCACCAAAGCUAAACGCAACGAGUUAUACGAUGUAAUGUUAUUAAAAGACACGUACGAUGAUGAGGAUAUUGUUAAAAUUCGUACCAGUAAUUCCUGAAGGUGGCAUCACAACUCUACCCAAUUCGCCAUAUCGUGCAAAUAAUUGUCGAAUCUCCUGUGCUGGUGUUGCAGCAGGUAAAUUCUUUACCAAUAUUACUGUUUUUGAUCGUUCAUUUGAUGGCUGGAAAAAAUGCAUUAAUUAAAUCGAUUUGAUUUAUACGUAUGUAUAAUCAUUAAUAUUUAUAUUUCACUAUACUUGAUUAAAUGCAUCCAAACAAACUCCAUUUUCCUCCAAAAAGUUUUUCGUAUCUUGAACCAAUUGUGUUUCUCCUAAUGCUAAUUUAACCGCAGCACUCAAACCUUUUGAUCCAUCUUCGAGUACAUUUUCUUUUGUUGUAUUAUAAGUGGUAGCUAUAGCAUCAGCCACAGCAUUUUGACCAAGGAAAAGAGUGUUCCAGUUAUGUGAUGAUCCCGCAGUUGUUUUAGCUUUCAAUUCUUUCUUUUGUUUAUAAGUUAAUUCUUCUAUAAGUAAAUAAUACAAAAAUUAUAAAAUUAUAUAAUAUCAAUAUUAGAAUUGUUACAAAAAAUUAUAGAUUCAUGUACGAUAUAUUUUUACUUUCGUCGAGUUCUUCCAAUGAAUCAAUUUUCAUUUUGGCUGGAAGAAGAUGCAACAUUCUUCCAUCUAAAAUCGAUCCGUCUAAUUCGCUGUAAGCUUUUACCGCAUGUUCGGUCAUUAAGAAUGUUAUUGUACCAAAUCCUUUUAAUUUUCUAGUUAUUCGAUCGAUGGGUAAAUUAACUUCGGUUAAAGGACCUAAAUAGAAAAUUAUAUUAAUAUCAUACGCAUCAUAUUGGACAAGAAAAAAAAUUACCAUAUUUUUCAAACAAUUUUCGAAUAUCAUCUUCGGUUGUCGUAUAGGAUAAAUUUCGAAUAAACAUUCUUCCAGAUUCUGCUAUGCUUUCUUCACUUUUCAAUGCUUCUGCUUGCUUCUUCCAUUUAACAUUAUUGUUAUUUUCAUUUUGUUCUUCUUCAAAUUUUUGUUCCUUCAUUUCAUAUUUUAUUACAAAUAUUUGUCUUCCAUCUAAAUAUAUAUAUGUAUAUUAAAAUAUAGACUAAAAUUUGAAAAAAAAAGAAACUCUUAAUAAGGAUAAACUAUAAGAUACCUAAAAAACUUUUAUUUUUCAAUAACGCUUUUCUCAAAUGUUGUGGAGUUUUGAAACCAACAUAAGCAAUACCCUUAAUUUUUGGCGAUAUUCGUAUCGAUUUUGCUUUUAAUGGACUAAAAAAUUGUUUGAUAUCUUUUUUCUUAUGAUUAUAUGCCAAUCCUCGAAGUUUUACAGUAAAUAAUUUUAGUGGCCCGUGUUUGGAUGGAUUACCAUUUGAAACUUUUUGUACAUUCUUUUCUUUAUUUUUUAAAGCUUCCAUAUACUAUUUAAAAAAAUAAAUUUAUUACUAUAUAGAUUAUUAUUAUAUAAAAAAAUAAACAUUGUAUAUAUACAAAACAAAUUAAUAAAUAACAAAAAAAUA